rnacentral:rRNA from 1 species
UGGGGAAUCUUGCACAAUGGGGGAAACCCUGAUGCAGCGACGCCGCGUGAACGAUGAAGCCCUUCGGGGUGUAAAGUUCUUUCGACAGGAACGAUAAUGACGGUACCUGGAGAAGAAGCUGCGGCUAACUCCGUGCCAGCAGCCGCGGUAAUACGUAGGCAGCGAGCGUUGUUCGGAGUUACUGGGCGUAAAGAGUGCGUAGGCGGCGAGCCAAGUUUGGUGUGAAAUCUCCCGGCUUAACCGGGAGGGUGCGCCGAAAACUGGUUGGCUGGAGUAUGGGAGAGGAAAGCGGAAUUCCUGGUGUAGCGGUGAAAUGCGUAGAUAUCAGGAGGAACACCUGCGGUGUAGACAGCUUUCUGGACCAAAACUGACGCUGAGGCACGAAAGCGUGGGUAGCAAACA